rnacentral:lncRNA from 1 species
GCUUCCUCAUCUGCAAAGAGAACAGGAGAUCCACAGCCGUGGAUAUGGUUCUGUCUGGUGCACAUCCUUGGACAGUAAGAUCAAGGCAUAGAGAAGGGAUUCGAUCGGGAAGCGAGGUGAGGAGUUGAUCCAGCACAAAAAUAAGCCAGAAAAGGAAAAAGAAGAAGAGAAUCGGAGAGAGAUUAGGAGGUGAGGGGCAAAG